UCGGCGCUUGCGCCAUAGGCGCGUUUUCGCUCCACUCGCGGAAGCUUCUGUUCGCCAACACCUGCCCAGAGCUUUGGUGUCAUGGCGACGGCCGUUCAAGGUGGCGCGUCCCACCCGCCUGGUCCGGACCAUCCCUGUCCGCCCAGGAGCGGGUGGCUUCGGCACCAGACAGGUUUUUGUUUCACCUCGAAGUCCUCUCGGAAGGGAUUGGAGCAUUGAAAACGCCACAGCGACAGAGCCUGAGCCACGGGUUGGCAGUAUUUGCUUGAGUUAUAAAACCACGACUUUCUCUGAUUUAAAAAAAAAAAAAAACCUCCACUCAAGCAAAAAAAAGAAAAUGCUUUAUCUUCAAGAAGAUUCAUAGAAAGUACUUUUUGGCAAACAGAGACUUCUGAUGACUUUUAGAUCAUACUGCUGAAUUGGAAAUUGGAGACUCUUAGGUUCCCAGCAGCCUUAUCGGGUGGAUAAAAAAGGCCACCUCCUGGCAGGUGCAGGAAUCUCAAGAUAUUUUGGGGAGUUUGAGAAGAGAGGAAUACACUCGAAUCUAUAGAUAUUGCAGGCAGAAUCUGAUGGCAAGCCCUUGACAUGGUUUUCCCAGCCUUGAUGCCUUUUAAAAGUUUAAUUUGAGAUUCCUUAAAAAUUUCCAGCACAGCCAACUUAAAAGAGCCUAUAUGAUCAAUUACACUUAUGUAAAUAAUCAGGCCAAUUUUAUUGAAGCCAGACUUAUUUUGCAAAUAAAUUAGUCUUAAUUUGGCUACAAUUGGCAGAAAUAAGGAUAAUUUUAGAGAGGAAAAAAAUUAUGUUUCGGGGGACAUUAAAUUCUUGUGUCUUUGAAGUUUUUUUGUAUUUGCUACCAAUGACUCACUUUUGCAAUUGGCUCCUUGUUGCUGUGUUGCAUUAUUGUGAAGUUUGUUUCUGAAGUUUAUCAUAGUAAUGUGUCUUUGGAUGAAGAUCAGAUGUCCCAUGACCUGCAUCCAGGAGAUUAUGCAUAUUAGAAAAGACAUCAGAUAAAGGACUCUAUAGCCAAUUUGGAGGGGGGCUAUAUUGGGCCUUGUUUCCUUAAUGAACUGUAACUCCUGUUUCUGACACCCAACUUCAACUAACAGACCAGCACUGCCAGACCAGGAUGAGAUGAAGACAACAUCUGAAGUAGACAGCUGAGCCAAGAUACUGGACCAAGACUGUAUGCUAAUUACUUCGAUAAUUGUUCACAUUUUACUUAUGAACCAAAUGUAUUUAUUACUUGGGCUCACUCAUUUGCAAGUUUCAAAAAAAUCAACCUAGUUCCUGGGUUUGUGGCCAAUUACCUAUGUCCAGUACUCCUAUGUUACCUUGGUAGAUUUCUCCUCUCCAAUACUCUAAUUGGAUGGUCCUUAGAAAUUUAAAAGAAAGAAACCAUGCAAGCUACCAUUACUGCCAAUAUUACUAAGUGGGAUCUUCUUACCUGGCCAAUUUAAUGACACCUGCUCUGAACCUGGCCAUAAAUAUGCCUUUUCACUAGAUGUUAAAUAUUGGGUGGCUCCUAAUGGGACCAGUGGAUUUAUGAAACAAGUUUAUGGCCUUGGGUCUCCUCAGUUCAGUUAGGAAGAGGCACAGUUGGCUUCUUUUGGGCUCAUGGUCACCUAUGUGUAGCCUUGGAAACAGCCCCUGACAAUCUGCUUUUGAUGUAAGCAUGUUGGAUUUUGAUCCAUUUUCCAAUGGUAUGACUGUUUGGCCAGUAUUCAUUUCUUUACUUGGAAUAAAAGAUCAUUAAUCACAUAGUGGUUUUAACAAAAUUUACUGAGCAAACUUUGAAUGAUAGUCAUCAAGCCAAUAGCUUGCUCAGUUCUGAAGUCUCCAUAAUGAGGAAAGUGGUCCUACAAAAUCACAUGGUCAUAUUCUAACUGCUCCCCAAGGGGAAAGUUGUGAUAUAAUGCAUACUGAAUGUUGGGUUUUUAUAUCUGAUGUGUCUUCUGAUGUAACUCAUCACACAUAUGAAGAAUCAGAUUUCUUCUCUGAAUGAUCGUCUUCCCAUUUUAGGGGAAUACUAGGAAAAUGGUUUGGUUUAGAAGGAUCUUGGCUUAAACAUUUACUUAAUGACAUUGUUAACUUCUAUUGGCAAUUUUGAUUACAGUUUGUGUAACUUAUAAAGUGAUAGCUUCUUGCCUUUUGUGCUGUAUAUUACCUAUUUCUACUAAGAUAAUGAUAUCUAAACAACUUGAAACUAUGAUCACAUUCAUAGUUCUCAAUAAAUUAAAGAACAUGCAUAUGUGUGGUAAAAUUGGCAUAAGUCCUACUAUUAGUUCUUGCCAGACAUCUUAGUAGUACAACCCCCUGAAAGGAAGGAAAGAACCAGGCUAUUAAGUCCCAACAUCAAGGGACAUGAUAGACCCAGGGCAGAGAAUCAACCAUCCUGGCAUCAAGGGAUCACCUAAUGCUGUCCAUCAAAAGAAUCAUGAUCAAAAAGGGGAAAUUGAUGAAAUAAAAUUCAUAUUUUAUAGCAAGACAAGAAAAAUUUGAACGUAAAAUUUUCCUCUGCCUGUUUGGGCCUUUUUCCUCCCCUUCAGUGUGUGUUGUGCAUCUGCAUUAAUCAGACUUCCUUAGGAAACAAACUUCCCUUUUAAUCUUCCUUUCAAAUGAUCCACUACUCACUUUGUAUGAGCUGAUUUGGAUUGUAUCAACUGCCAAUACUGUACAUCAUUUGACAUAUAACCUUUGUCUCAAAAACUUAUAUAACUGUACUUUGACCUCUAACAGAUAGAACAGUCCUCAGAGCUUUCUAAAAGACUGUUUCCCAGGUUGUAAUCCUCAGGUUGGCUCAAAUAAAAUUUUCCAUAUUUUUCUUA